CUAUAUAAUUUUCACUGAAUAUAUUCUCCCUAUAAUUUAUUUCCUUGUAAAAUUCCUCCAACGCCAAAGUUACCCCACACAAAUUAGGGCAAACCUCUCUUUCUCAUCGUCCAUGGUGUGGAUUUGCAUCUCUCGAUCGUAUCAGAUCCAUCUCUCUCCUAUUGCCUCUCCCCUUCUUAUAUUGAUACGGCGAAGGUGUUUCUAAAGCAGCUACGUGUUUUUUUGAGGUCGUGGUGAUAAAUGAAGUUAGAUUUCUCAUGGCAGUGAAUUAGGAGGUAUUCAUCCAAAGGAUAAUCAACAGAUCUAAGCAAAGAUCACAAACUGCCAAAUUUUCAAAAUAUUCUUUGUCGAUGAUUUUUUGAGAAAUCAAAAUGAUUCUUGAGAAGCAUCCGAAAGAGUGGAAAGACCAGGUGUUAGAGGAUAGUGCAAAAAUAUAUUUUUUAAUUUAUUUACUUGAGUAUUUUGUUAGUUGUGUUUUCUGAGUUUCUUGUCACACGCUAGCCAGUAGAGUUAUUACUGCACUACAGUUUUGUAAUGUUCUCUUUGGUGAUUAAAAAAAAAAAGCUACCAAUAAAAGAAUUUGUUUCUCUUA